GAUGAAGAACGUAGCGAAAUGCGAUAAGUAGUGUGAAUUGCAGAAUUCAGUGAAUCAUCGAAUCUUUGAACGCACAUUGCGCCCCUUGGUAUUCCAUGGGGCAUGCCUGUUCGAGCGUCAUUUGUACCUUCAAGCUUUGCUUGGUGUUGGGUGUUUGUCCUGAGGGACUCGCCUUAAAGUAAUUGGCAGCCAGUGUUUGGUUUUGAAGCGCAGCACAUGUCGCGAUUCAAGGCUAUACACCAGCUUCCACAAGCCUUUUUCACUUUUGACCUCGGAUCAGGUAGGGAUACCCGCUGAACUUAAGCAUAUCAAUAAGCGGAGGA
rnacentral:misc_RNA from 1 species